rnacentral:rRNA from 1 species
UACGAAGGGGGCUAGCGUUGCUCGGAAUCACUGGGCGUAAAGCGCACGUAGGCGGAUUGCUAAGUCAGGGGUGAAAUCCUGGAGCUCAACUCCAGAACUGCCUUUGAUACUGGCGAUCUUGAGUCCGGGAGAGGUGAGUGGAACUGCGAGUGUAGAGGUGAAAUUCGUAGAUAUUCGCAAGAACACCAGUGGCGAAGGCGGCUCACUGGCCCGCUACUGACGCUGAGGUGCGAAAGCGUGGGGAGCAAACAGG